rnacentral:rRNA from 1 species
GAUGAACGCUGGCGGCGUGCCUAAUACAUGCAAGUCGAGCGAACAGACGAGGCGCUUGCUCCUCUGACGUUAGCGGCGGACGGGUGAGUAACACGUGGAUAACCUACCUAUAAGACUGGGAUAACUUCGGGAAACCGGCGCUAAUACCGGAUAAUAUAUUGAACCGCAUGGUUCAAUAGUGAAAGACGGUUUUGCUGUCACUUAUAGAUGGAUCUGCGCCGCAUUAGCUAGUUGGUAAGGUAACGGCUUACCAAGGCAACGAUGCGUAGCCGACCUGAGAGGGGGAUCGCCCACCCUGGAACUGAGCCACGGUCCAGACGCCUACGAGAGGCAGCAGUAGGGAACCUUCCGCAAUGGGCGAGAGCCUGACGGAGCAACGCCGCGUGAGUGAUGAAGGUCUUCGGAUCGUAAAACUCUGUUAUGAGGGAAGAACAAAUGUGUAAGUAACUAUGCACGUCUUGACGGUACCGAAUCAGAAAGCCACGGCUAACUACGUG